CCUACGGGUGGCAGCAGUAGGGAAUCUUCCACAAUGGGCGAAAGCCUGAUGGAGCAACGCCGCGUGGGUGAAGAAGGUCUUCGGAUCGUAAAACCCUGUUGUUAGAGAAGAAAGUGCGUGAGAGAAACUGUUCACGUUUCGACGGUAACUAACCAGAAAGCCACGGCUAACUACGUGCCAGCAGCCUCGGUAAUACGUAGGUGGGAAGCGUUAUCCGGAUUUAUUGGGCGUAAAGGGAGCGCAGGCGGUCUUGUAAGUCUGAUGUGAAAGCCUUCGGCUUAACCGGAGGAGUGCAUUGGAAACUGGGUGACUUGAGUGCAGAAGAGGGAUGUGGAACGCCAAGUGUAGCGGUGAAAUGCGUAGAUAUAUGGAAGAACACCAGUGGCGAAGGCGGCUCUCUGGUCUGUAACUGACGCUGAGGUUCGAAAGCGUGGGUAGCAAACAGGAUUAGAUACCCUGGUAGUC
rnacentral:rRNA from 1 species